AGACGAAGGUAGCACCGUACUUGUACUACGAAACCGUGAAUGGCUCAUUAUAACAGCUAUGAUUUAAGAGAAACAAUUUACCACAGGAUAACUGUGGCAAUUCUAGAGCUAAUACUUUUUCGCAGCCACGACUCACGAAGUGGCGGACUUAUUAGUUCAAAACCAAUCAGUUUCACGACUGUUGUUUUGAUGACUCUAGAUAAUUUUACCUGAUCGCAUGGCCUUGUGCUGGCGACAUAUCUCUUGAAAUGGCUGACCUAUCAACUUUCGUUGGUAAGAUCAUUGCUUACCAUGGUUAUCACGGGUAACGGGGAAUCAGGGUUCGAUUCCGGAGAGGGAGCCUGAGAAACGGCUACCACAACUACGGUUGGCAGCAGGCGCGCAACAUGCCCAAUGCUCGACGAGCGAGGCUGUGACGAUAAAUAAUAAUGUGAACCCUUACGGGUUUCAUAAUUACAAUGAGAUCAGUGUAAAUACUUUAACGAGUAUCAAUUGGAGGGCAAGUCUGGUGCCAGCAGCCGCGGUAAUUCCAGCUCCAAAAGCGUAUAUUAAAGUUGUUGCAGUUAAAAAGCUCGUAGUUGAAAUUGAGGCAUAUUCCUUACUUGUAUCUUUGAUAUAGGUUUGGAGUGGCCUUCUCAGACAGUAUAUUUUUGAUUUCCUUUUUUGGAUGUCAUUAGUAACUGUCAAGUUUACUUUGAAAAAAUUAGAGUGCUUAAAGCAGGCUUUACGCCUGAAUAUUGUUGCAUGGAAUAAUGGAAUAGGACUUUUGUUCUAUUUUAUUGGUUUUCGGAACGAAAGUAAUGAUUAAAAGAGACUGCCGGGGGCAUACGUAUGUUGGUGUUAGAGGUGAAAUUCAAAGAUCAUCAACAGACGAACUACUGCGAAAGCAUUUGCCAAGAAUGUUUUCAUUAAUCAAGAACGAAAGUUAGAGGAUCGAAGACGAUCAGAUACCGUCCUAGUUCUAACUAUAAACGAUGCCAACUAACGGUUCGCUAUGGUAAAAUUUUAACCUAGCGAGAAGUUUCCGGGAAACCAAAGUUUAUGGGUUCCGGGGGAAGUAUGGUUGCAAAGCUGAAACUUAAAGGAAUUGACGGAAGGGCACCACCAGGAGUGGAGCCUGCGGCUUAAUUCGACUCAACACGGGAAAUCUCACCCGGUCCGGACACUGUGAGGAUUGACAGAUUGAUAGCUCUUUCUUGAUUCGGUGGGUGGUGGUGCAUGGCCGUUCUUAGUUGGUGGAGUGAUUUGUCUGGUUAAUUUCGAUAACGAACGAGACUCUAACCUGCUAAAUAGUAAAUGUGUGGUUAAAAGCACAUAUGACUUCUUAGAGGGAUAAAUGGCGUUAGCCAAAUGAGAUGGAGCAAUAACAGGUCUGUGAUGCCCUUAGAUGUCCGGGGCCGCACGCGCGCUACAAUGACAGUAUCAACAAGUUUUUUCCUAGCUAGAAAUGGCCGGGUAACCUUUUGAACCACUGUCGUAUCUGGGAUAGUAGAUUGCAAUUAUUCUACUUGAACGAGGAAUUCCUAGUAAGUGCAAGUCAUUAGCUUGCGCUGAUUACGUCCCUGCCCUUUGUACACACCGCCCGUCGCUACUACCGAUUGAAUGUUUUAGUGAGAAUGUCGGAUUCUAGUCUAAGAGAUGGCAACAUUUCUAUGAUCGGAAAAGACAUCCAAGCAUU
rnacentral:rRNA from 1 species